rnacentral:siRNA from 1 species
UAUUGUUCAUCAUAUACCUGA